rnacentral:rRNA from 1 species
AGGGCACCACCAGGAGUGGAGCCUGCGGCUUAAUUUGACUCAACACGGGAAAUCUCACCAGGCCCGGACAAUAAAAGGAUUGACAGAUUGAGAGCUCUUUCUUGAUUUAUUGGGUGGUGGUGCAUGGCCGUUCUUAGUUGGUGGAGCGAUUUGUCUGGUUAAUUCCGAUAACGAACGAGACUCUGGCCUACUAACUAGACGUUGGAUCUCUUUGUGGGUCCAUCGCAGCUUCUUAUAGGGACGGGCGGCGUUUAGCCGCACGAGAAUGAGCAAUAACAGGUCUGUGAUGCCCUUAGAUGUUCUGGGCUGCACGCGCGCUACACUGAAGGAAUCAGCGUGUGUACCCUGCCUGAAAAGGCUGGAAAACCCGUUGAACCUCCUUCGUGAUGGGGAUUGGGGAUUGCAAUUAUUCCCCAUGAACGAGGAAUUCCCAGUAGGCGCGAGUCAUAAGCUUGCGUCGAUUACAUCCCUGCCCUUUGUACACACCGCCCGUCGCUACUACCGAUCGAGUGAUUUAAU